AUUGAACGCUGGCGGAAUGCUUUACACAUGCAAGUCGAACGGUAGAGGGGGCAACCCCUCGAGAGUGGCGAACGGGUGAGUAAUAUAUCGGAACGUGCCCAGUCGUGGGGGAUAACGUAGCGAAAGUUACGCUAAUACCGCAUACAAUCUAAGGAUGAAAGCGGGGGAUCGCAAGACCUCGCGCGAUUGGAGCGGCCGAUAUCAGAUUAGGUAGUUGGUGGGGUAAAGGCUCACCAAGCCAACGAUCUGUAGCUGGUCUGAGAGGACGACCAGCCACACUGGAACUGAGACACGGUCCAGACUCCUACGGGAGGCAGCAGUGGGGAAUUUUGGACAAUGGACGCGAGUCUGAUCCAGCCAUUCCGCGUGCAGGAUGAAGGCCCUCGGGUUGUAAACUGCUUUUGUACGGAACGAAAAGGUCUCUCUUAAUACGGGGGACUCAUGACGGUACCGUAAGAAUAAGCACCGGCUAACUACGUGCCAGCAGCCGCCGUAA
rnacentral:rRNA from 1 species